CUGAGUUUCUCUGCUUGUUUGAGUUGAGAACUACUGCUAUACCCUUUCUUCGUCUCCUUUGUGAUCGCUCCAACACAACCCGGGUAAGUCUGAUAUUUACGUAAAACAACGGCUAAUUUCCUAUUUGACGUUGUUUUUGGUUUCACUUUCAUUUCGUUUCGAUCAGCUUCUCUCGUAAACGCCCUUCUACUCCUUUUAUUCUGAGUCUCAACGAAAUACCUACAGAUCAGCAGAUAAUCGAUGACAGCCAUUCAAUCACGACGAUAGUUCGAUCUUUCUCAGUUUCGGCGCCGUGGAUUGUUGAAGAAUUCUCAAAUGUGCCCAGGGCGAAACUCAAUUCAAGAAUAAGUCGAACAUUUCCCCUCACUUCUUCUUACUCGCUGUUCGUAUUGUGUUCCACUUAUAAUUAUGAAAUGUUUUAUUGAAAUAUACUUCUUGGAUCGAUAUGAUUUUACGAACGUCAAAUAAGAAAUUACCAAACAACGACCUCAUCUCUUAUUAUAAAAGGCAGAUUUUAUCUGCCUCCCUUUGGGAGUUAUACAAAUCUACAAUAUAGGAUUUCUUCAAUUACAAUUUACCUAGCAUUUUUAAGAGUACAAUGCAUCGCGUCAUGCCAGGUCCAGGUUUUUAAAAUUUAAACUCCAAUUAAGCAAAAUUUACAGAAAACUCACAUUCUGGUGUGUGUGUCAAAUGCUUUUCUUAGUCUGGUUUACACCACACGCAAACGCACACACACAGUGUGCGACGAAUAAAAUGAAAGUAAAUGUAAUAUUUGUUUCUGUCUAUCACGCUGAUAGAUACAUGAGUAAAAUGUAUGGGAAGCUAACAGAUAACAGUGAGUGAAAAUGUUCUUGGAAGAGAGUAAAUUAGCGACAGAGUGAUUUGAGGAAGACUAAACUGAAAGUAUGAAACAGUGUUUAUGUAUAAACAGACGACACUUAUAUAAACCCUUUCGUUACCAAACCGCCCGAAUUUACCUAUUCAUAUUUAAAUGAGAAUAUCAGAGUAAAUCUCUUUAGUACAUUCGUGAAAACACGUAUUAUACUUCGUAAACACUUCAAAUACAGUUUUUUACAAAAAUCGAAGUGUAAUUUUAAUUCCGUGAAUUAUGGGACAUUUUUUUCCGAAAUUUGUUUUUGUGUGUUUCUUAAAUGGCUUAUAAACACCUUCAACGCUGCAACUGUUUUCGUUCCAGCACACGAUCUCAGAUCAAGUCACUUGCUAUGCAAGUACAUCUCUGUAACUAUAUAUAUAUAUAUAUGUAUAUUGGUAAAAACAGUAAGAUAACAAAAGAAAGAAAGAGACCUCAAUAUUAUGUAAAUAGAGGAAAUCUUUAUAUAUAAAAGUGAGGUUGUGUGCCUGUCUCCUACGAUUUAGAUUCCUAACUACUCCCACAUUUUGCGGUGCAGUUUAACCAAAACCGGGUAUCUUAUAGUCGUGAUUCAUAUCGAGACCGUCUGGGUAUUAGCGCGCGUCUACGAUGAGUCUACGAUUUAAAAAAAAAUUUACCAUCAAUUUUUUCCCAUUUUUAAUCCAUUUUUGACAUAUAUAAGGCGAGACAGAGUGAUUUGAAGAAGACUUUACAUUAAAUAACCGUAGUGGCUUCUGUUAGUAAUAAAGUAAACAUACACUCAUACAUACAUACAUACAUACAUACAUACAUACAUACAUACAUACAUACAUACAUACACACACACACAUACACACACACAUACAUACAUACACACACACAUACAUACAUACACACAUACAUACAUACACACAUACAUACAUACAUACAUAUACAUACAUACAUAUACAUACAUACAUACACACACACACACAUACAUACACACACACAUACAUACAUAUAUACAUACAUACAUACAUAUACAUACAUACAUAUACAUACAUACAUAUACAUACAUACAUACACACAUACACACACACAGUAUUGAAGCUUGAGAACAAUCAGAUACAUUUGCAACACAUCUGUUGAAAAUAUUAUUGUUCACACUCAUACAUAUACAUAUAUACAUACAGACAGACAGACAGAUAGACACACACACACACACACACACAUGAUCCAGCAUGGCCACAACCUCAAGGCUGAAACAUAUAAAAGAAUAACAGAAUAUAAAUGUGUGCAUGUGUGUGAGAGAGAGAGUGUGUGUGUAUAUGUAUGUAUGUAUGUAUGUAUGUAUAUAUAUAUAAUAAUGCGGUUUUUUCAACAGCUUGAACUAAAAGUCAGAGGGGAAUGGGAUAAACUACUUAUAUUAACUUGCUAUAAAAGCAGGUAGUAAUUUUAUCUUGUCCUUAUUCAUAGUGCAAGUUUUGAAGAGUGCAUUUCGAUUUUAACAGCUAUUUUUUUCAAAGCUAUAUUGGAACAGCCUAGAAGACGAGCCUCAUCCUGAAAGAUCUGUAGAACUCGACAAGGACAUCCUGAAAACCCUGGUGGAACAAAAUCUCAUCGUAACUGUUGAGGAACUAGCAGAGAAGCUUGGAUUUGGUCAUUCAACCAUUCAUUGAGACCUGUGUGCUAUCGGAAAAGUCAGCAAAUUGGGUCAAUGGGUUCCUCACGAACUUUCCGAGUCUAAUUGCAUGUAGAGAGUGAAUGUAUGCUUUUCUUUGCUGUCACAUCUCACCACUACUGCGCUAUGUAUAUCUAUAUAUAUAAAGCUGUAGUUGUGUGAGUGUCUGUCCCCUUCGAUUUAGAUUCCUAACUACUCCCACAUUUUGCGGUGCAGUUUAACCAAAUUCGGGUAGCUUAUAGUCGUGAUUCAUAUCGAGCCCGUCUGAGUAUUAGCGCGCGUCUACGAUGAGUCUACGAUUUUAAAAAUAAUUUAACAUCAUUUUUUAUUCCAUUUUAAUGCAUAAUUUUUCGUGUGUCGAUGGCGGCGGAGUUGGCGUCCACGCUCACACCUGCACCUGUGGGGAAGGGAGUGUAAGGAAAUCAACGUCGUAAUGCGUUGUCAAGGAGACCAGCGUUCUUUUAGAACAACGACUUCAUGGCUUGAAGACACCAAAACAGAAAUGGCUAAGAAAGCGUCUACAUGAGUCUACGAUUUAAAAAAAAAUUUACCAUCGUUUUUUUUCCAUUUUAAUGCAUUUUUUCGCUAUUUUUUGGCUAUAACUCUCUAAAAAUGCUUAUAUAGUUAUUUCCCUUACAAACCCGAGCAACGCCGGGCGAUACUGCUAGUCACAUAUAAAACAGAAGUGACCACAUACAAACGAUGUGCUGGACUCACAGAAUAUCGGCAAAAUUCCUCAGUUAUGAUGUUUUCUUGUUUAUAAAAUCUCUUAUUAUAAAAGGCAGAUUUUAUCUGCCUUCCUUUGUCUCUUAUAGAAAUCUACAAUAUAGGAUUUCUUCAAUUACAAUUUACCUAGCAUUUUUAAGAGUAGAAUGCAUCGGGUUUUGCCAGGUCCGGUUUUUAAAAUUUCAACCCCAAUUAAGCAAAAUUUAGAGAAAAUUCACAUUGUGGUGUAUAUGUCAAAUGCUUUUCUUAGUUUGGGUUACAGCACACGCAAACGCACACACACAGUGUGCAACGAAUAAAGUGAAAGUAAUUCACUGUGUGUUGACAGGUAGACAAUAGAAUGCGAUGGCGAUGGCGAUGUAAUAUUUGUUUCUGUCUAUGACGCUGAUAGAUACAUGAGUAAAAUGUAUGGGAAGCUAAGAGAUAAGAGUGAGUGAAAAUGUUCUUGGAAGAGAGUAAAUAGCGAGAGAGUGAUUUGAGGAAGACUUUACAUUAAAUAACCGUAGUGGCCUGUCAAAUGAAGAGGAGUGACAGGGUACUGGAGGAAAUAGGGUGAGUGAGGAAGAUGGCCCCUAGCAACCACACCUUUUAAGAUAGGGAUUUCUAAGGUAGCCCACGAGCAUCGUCACCUCAUUCUACAUGUCCCUGUAAAUUUUGGAGCGAAUCGGACGGGAUAAAGUUAUCUCUAAGAAACAGAAAGAUCGCCCAAAAGUGUAUAUAGAUAUUUAAAUGUAUUUAUAUAUUCAUCUAUACACACAUGUAUGUAUAAUGUGCGUGUAUAUAUUUCCAUAGAGGUAACCAUUCAAUCCAUACAAAGUUUUUUAGGACGAAAAUAUUUAUAUAUAAAAGAAAGGUUGUGUGUCUGUCUACUCCGAUUUAGAUUCCUAACUACUCCCACAUUUUGCGAUGCAGUUUAACCAAAACCGGGUAUCUUAUAGUCGUGAUUCAUAUCGAGCCCUUCUGGGUAUUAGCGCGCGUCUACGAUGAGCCUAUGAUUUUACAAAUAAUUUACCAUCAUUUUUUUCCAUUUUAAUGCAUAUUUUUUUAAUAAAGGGAAGUAACUCUCAAACUUCACACCAAUAUGCGUGCUCAUAUGCGACGUAAUAUCACAUCAGCAGCAUUUCCUCACACCCUCCUUGCACUUGGCGAAGGCAAAAUACCAGGGGAUGAAAAUGGUAAUAUUGCCAUUGAUUCCAUUUGUAACGUUGUUAAGACGCCUUCUGAUCUCAGAGAUGCAGUGUUCCCAGAUCUACAAGCUAAUUAUCAGAAUAUGGAUUGGAUUGGCAAAAAGGCUAUACUGGCCCCGAGGAAUAAAACUGUUCACCAUAUUAAUGAUGAAAUGCUAAAACUCAUUCCUGGGGAAGUCUAUGUAUAUCAGUCUAUCGAUACAACUCCUGACCCAGAGGACGUCAUCAACUAUCCAAUAGAGGUACUCAAUUCCUUUGAGCACCCCGGACUACCACCACACUUUCUCAAACUUAAAGUUGCUGCCCCUAUAAUGCUCAUCAGAAAUUUGGUUCCCCCAAAACAAUGCAAUGGCACACGUUUGAUCGUUAAGUCCUUAUCUCCCACCGUAAACUUAUAUCAAUAUUUGCCUGAAUAAUCAUCAUAAUUCAGUGCAAUCAUUAACAGUACUUUCAAGCAAUUCAGCCCCGAGCAACGCCGGGCAAUUCUGCUAGUAUAAUAUAAAACGGUCAUUCAGUCAAUUUAAUUAGUUUGCUUUGUAAUCGCAUUGACACAACCGAGAAGAGUAAGUCAAGAAAUGUUGUCUGAUGUUUACGUAAAACGACCUCAGAUACAAAACAGAAACAUGCUGGGCGAUCCUUCGGUAUAUGUCCCGUAAGUAGCAGAAGUAGCUUUGUUGUUACGUUCUGAGUUCAAAUUCCGCCGAGGUCGACUUUGCCUUUCAUCCUUUUGGGGUCGAUAAAUUAAGUACCAGUUACACACUGGGGUCGAUGUAAUCGACUUAAUACCUAUGUCUGUCCUUGUUUGUCCCCUCUGUGUUUAGCCCCUUGUGGGUAGUAAGGAAAUAGGUAUAUGUCCCGUAAGUAGCUUUGUUUACAUUUCUGAAGAUAACAGAAACCCUUUUCUCCUAACCCUAACCCCCCAUAUAUAUACAUAAAAAAAAACAACACUUUCUUGAAAUGUAUCCGGUACUUCCGGGUCGUAUACCGAAGAUACGCCACAUGCUGGACUUCGUAUUCCCAAGAUCCUUCAAACAUUCCUCAUGUACAUCGCACCUAUUACUCCCUUUCAUCAUCAGAGAUGCCCAUAUUGUCAGCCACUAACAAUAUUUCUGCUUCAGCAGCUCAGCAAUGAAUCUGGAGGUCAAGGGUCAAGAUAGAGGGGGCGAGGCUUCUAUGAUAAAAUGUGUUGGCUGGAGGGUAGGAGAGAAACUAUGAUGACUAAAAAUUGUGAUGGGUACAGGGGUGAAUGCAGUGCAUGGAAUGAAAGUAGGGAGGAAGAGCAGAAAAGAUGAUGACUAGAUGUUUUACAGCUACUUUCCAUACAUCCCUCAUGUCUUACAAUGUUUUGUUUUUUCUUCUCUAAUUUCAGGUUAUUGGUAACAUUGGCACCGAAGAAUGUUUUUUACAUCACCAAUAUUUAAUCAUCUUUUAACCCUUUAGCGUUCAGAUUAUUCUAUCAAACAUAAUACCUAUUGAUUCCCAUUGAUUUGAAUUAAUCGUGCAUUAUCUCAUAUCUUCAAGAUCUUGAUGGUGUAAUUACUUAAUGUAGAAUAGCAUUGUAGGGUAGGUGUGAGAGCCUGGAUCUGGUCAGUUUGAACAUAAAACAGAUUAACUAUUUUGGCCGGAUAUGGUCGGUUUAAAUACUAAAGGGUUAAAGACUAAAAGAAGAUAUACACCAGUGGUUUUCAACCCUUUUUUUUUUCUUCUUAUGGGUGCCUUUGAUGACUAUUCUUUUCUGGUGAACCAAUAUAGCCAUUUGAUGUUUAGAA
rnacentral:lncRNA from 1 species